AGCGAACGCUGGCGGCAGGCCUAACACAUGCAAGUCGAACGAACCCUUCGGGGUUAGUGGCGGACGGGUGAGUAACACGUGGGAACGUGCCUUUAGGUUCGGAAUAACUCAGGGAAACUUGUGCUAAUACCGAAUGUGCCCUUCGGGGGAAAGAUUUAUCGCCUUUAGAGCGGCCCGCGUCUGAUUAGCUAGUUGGUGAGGUAAUGGCUCACCAAGGCUACGAUCAGUAGCUGGUCUGAGAGGAUGACCAGCCACAUUGGGACUGAGACACGGCCCAAACUCCUACGGGAGGCAGCAGUGGGGAAGCUUGCGCAAUGGGCGAAAGCCUGACGCAGCCACGCCGCGUGGAUGAUGAAGGUCUUAGGAUUGUAAAAUCCUUUCACCGGUGAAGAUAAUGACUGUAGCCGGAGAGGAAGCCCCGGCUAACUUCGUGCCAGCCGCCGCCGUAAAAC
rnacentral:rRNA from 1 species